rnacentral:tRNA from 1 species
GGAUGUAGCCAAGUGGUAAGGCAUCUGUUUUUGGUACAGAGUAUCGUAGGUUCGAAUCCUACCAUC